ensembl:lncRNA
CUGCAAAUGCACUAAUGAUGCAUAAUUAUCAUCGCUGCAAGCCUUCUACACAUCUGGGCAAAUGGCUCCAGCUUCCAUGAUGAUUCUCCUAUUUUACCCAAUUCUGUGUUUGAAUGGUUCCAUACUGCCCCUGGUAGCAGUAACAGUUGGCUUCUAGGAGUUAUUUAGGACUUACUGAGAUGAAUACUUGAAGGGUCUUUCUGUUGUGACGCACAUGGUCUGAGAUCAAGUGGACCCUCUUGUAAUCUAAGCUGGGAGCCUAAGAGCUUAGUUUUCCUGGAUCACAUACUCCUCAUCCUCAACUCCCUUCCUAUCUUUGGAGUGUGUCAGGGGACAAAUCUCCACCUCUUUCUGCCAGUUCCCCCUCCUGAGCCUGAUUAACCAGAGAGCUUCAACAUCUACAAGCUUUGAUCCAAUAUGCAACCCACCCAAAUGGGCUGAGAUGCCCUGAAGAGUCAUUCUCCACAGCUGGAAACAAUUCCGCCUUUCAGACUGAAGCCUGGAUGUGAAAGGAGCCCAUGACCGCGGCAUCUUCCAGGUGUGGCCAAGCUGCUGUGGAGCUCCAGGGCAGCCCAGGCACAGCCACACCUUCCCACCUUUCCUUUAUUUGUCAUUCAGCUACUCGUUUCGGGAGUAACCUCUUUCACUUCCAUCACUGCACCCAGUCUACAGCAUUUGUCUCUCUUUGACAUUAAUAGCUUUUUAGAUUCCUGAUUGUCACUCCUGCUUCCUGGAGGCAGAGCCAGCAGGCAUGCCACAUGGUUUAUUGAGUCUCCAGCUGGGACCUCUGAGGGAUACUGAGAGGCCUCUUCCAUGUCAGCUGCCUCCUAACCCUCCACUGUGUUGUGGAAUUCCCCUUACGUCCCGUGAAUGGACCGGCAGCAGCAUAUCUCCGGCCACCUGGGCUCCCCACUGUUCCUGGCCCUUGCAGUCAACAGAUGUGUUGUUCAGAGACGGC